rnacentral:rRNA from 1 species
GCCUAGGUACAGACCCUAGCCAGAAACUUCGCUGAGUUCUUUCUAUCUCAACUCCUGGCUGUGAUCGCACGGUCUCGUUCCGGCGACGUAGCGCUCAAGUGUGGGCCUUAUGAACUGUCGAUGGUAGGUUACUCGAUUGUCAUGGUUGUAACGGAUGACGGGGAAUCAGGGUUCGAUUCCGGAGAGGGAGCCUGGGAAAUGCUUACCACAUCUAAAGAAGGCA